UACGUAGGGUGCAAGCGUUAAUCGGAAUUACUGGGCGUAAAGCGUGCGCAGGCGGUUAUAUAAGACAGUUGUGAAAUCCCCGGGCUCAACCUGGGAACUGCAUCUGUGACUGUAUAGCUAGAGUACGGUAGAGGGGGAUGGAAUUCCGCGUGUAGCAGUGAAAUGCGUAGAUAUCGUAAGGAAGACCAGUGGCGAAGGCGGAUCUCUGGACAGUUACUGACACUGAGGCACGAAGGCCAGGGGAGCAAACGGG
rnacentral:rRNA from 1 species